AUCAAGUCCAACCCGAUCCGACCAUAGACCGUAUAUAACAAGUCCGACCCAAUAUGAUAAAUGUUGUAUGUGGUUCUUGUGUCGUGUAUUGCGUAUCAUGGGUUUGCAUUGACUGCAUGGCCACGCCCACACUCCCCUCGCACCCACGGUUCCGACCAGCACUUAGCUCCACUGGAGACGGAGUUGUUACGUGUACAGGCUAGAUGGAGGUUAAGUAUGUUGCAGCGUGGAUCAUUGGUGACAGCUAUGCAUGGUGGCCAGAGAGCUGCAGAGAGCUUAGGAAGCAGCUUCACUCUCCUGGAUGUCUCUUAGUCUGCAGGCUUCUCCCCUUCUUUUCCCCUCCCUGCGAAGAAUUGCAGCAGUGGAUGUUCUCAUCAGCAUGUAAGGACGUGUGACGGCCUCUGUCAGAAUACAGGAUAUAAAAGUUCCACCUUCCAUCGUGGCUGGCUGUCUUCCCUAACAGCACCUGCACUCUGCUGCUUUGCUGAACAAUUGUUUUUACUUUUACUCCACAACACCUUAUCCCACAGCAUAUGAACACUACUGAUUUAAAAUGUAAAAUUAUGACGCUGACUUCCUAAGCAUAGGUUCCAUUAUUAUAAUUACUCAGUCAUACAUAACAACUUUAAUAAUUGUAAACUUUUUAAUUUUUAAUUUCACAUUUUCAUGAAUGCAUGAUAUGAUUUUAAUUUGUUUAACUGUUUCUUGUAUAGUAUAAUUCAUCCAUCCAUUGUCAACCGCUUAUCCUGCGUACAGGGUCGCGGGGGG